UGAAAAAGUCACUUCAGCAUAGCACUACAGA
rnacentral:piRNA from 1 species